UACGAAGGGGGCUAGCGUUGCUCGGAAUCACUGGGCGUAAAGGGCGCGUAGGCGGCCAAUCAAGUCAGAGGUGAAAGCCCAAGGCUCAACCUUGGAACUGCCUUUGAUACUGUUUGGCUUGAGACCGGUAGAGGUAAGUGGAACUGCGAGUGUAGAGGUGAAAUUCGUAGAUAUUCGCAAGAACACCAGUGGCGAAGGCGGCUUACUGGACCGGUUCUGACGCUGAGGCGCGAAAGCGUGGGGAGCAAACAGG
rnacentral:rRNA from 1 species